rnacentral:rRNA from 1 species
UGCGUAGGUGGUGAGGUAAGUCGGAUGUGAAAUCUCGGAGCUCAACUCCGAAAUGGCAUUGGAAACUACCUUGCUCGAGGAAUGGAGGGGGGACUGGAAUUCUCGGUGUAGCAGUGAAAUGCGUAGAUAUCGAGAGGAACACCAGUGGCGAAGGCGAGUCCCUGGACAUCUCCUGACACUGAGGCACAAAAGCUAGGGGAGCAAACA